rnacentral:rRNA from 1 species
AGAGCGAACGCUGGCGGCAGGCCUAAUACAUGCAAGUCGAACGGACCCUUCGGGGUUAGUGGCGGACGGGUGAGUAACACGUGGGAACGUGCCCUUUGGUUCGGAACAACUCAGGGAAACUUGAGCUAAUACCGAAUGUGCCCCCAUCCUUAAACAAGAUGGGUGGGAAAGAUUUAUCGCCAUUGGAGCGGCCCGCGUCUGAUUAGCUAGUUGGUGAGGUAAAGGCUCACCAAGGCGACGAUCAGUAGCUGGUCUGAGAGGAUGAUCAGCCACACUGGGACUGAGACACGGCCCAGACUCCUACGGGAGGCAGCAGUAGGGAAUCUUGCGCAAUGGGCGAAAGCCCGACGCAGCCAUGCCGCGUGAAUGAUGAAGGUCUUAGGAUUGUAAAAUUCUUUCAGCGGGGACGAUAAUGACGGUACCCGCAGAAGAACGCCCCGGCUAACUUCGUGCCAGCAGCCGC